GCCGGUGGUAGAAUGGGUAGAGUACGCGCUCUUGGACAGAGUGAGAUGCAGGUUCGACUCCCGCCUGAGGCG